ensembl:lncRNA
CUCUUUUCACCUUGUUUAUCACUCACUGAUAAGCUUUGUCCUCUGGCCACCACCUUUGAAGUGUUUGAGCCUCCUGGCAGUUUGGGGGAAUGAAACUGUACAGUAGAGGCAGAUGGAGUUAGUGGGAGCUUCAGCUGAUUAGCUACACAUGAGUCCAUGUGACCAGAUGGGAGGAAUUCAAGGAUGUCAGAGGACCUGGCCGAUGUCACUGCAAAGCCAUUCUCUGUCACUGGUCACAGUGGAAGUUCCUAAUGACAGAAAAAAAGGCAAAUGUCACAGCUAUAUCCUCAAGAAGGGCAAGAAGGAAGACGGGGAAACUAGAGGCUGAUCAACAACACCAUUGGUCCAUGGGAAGUGCCCAGAUGUGUGUGCAGCCAUACCCAUGCAUUUUGGAGACAUAACCAUGUUGAGACCUAUGUUUUCCUCCUUCUGUGAUUCUGAAGAUCUUCUACAGCAUCACUUCAAGAUUUUACACCUGAAACGGGUUCAUUUUCACUUGUCUGAUGCACAUUUCCAGCCAGCAGCCGGGAGACCGAAGAGGAUUCAAUCCGCAAUUGUUCUGAAAGCACACAAACUGAAUAAAUGUUUAUAACCCUAAAUGGUGUCACCGCAGCAGAUGAAUGGCAGCAGAACAAUGGGCACCGAUGCACUCUUCAGGCCGCAGCCAAGUUCCCUAGCAACUACAGAGGAGCUGUGCAGCCUGCAGAGGUACUGUGAGUGCCAGCAGGCCGUUAUCUGAGAAAUGACUGAGAAAUGAUCUUAGUGCCGUAUUUCAUUGAGGAGAUACCAUUAAUCAAUUGCCUGUUUGUAAUUCACGGAUACCACUUUUUCCCUUUGGGUAAACUGUUAGGUAAGAAUUCCUCUGGCUAGCGAUUUCAUUGUUAUUUAGUUUCAUGUAUGUGUUAGCAUUAAUUACAUAGGUUUAAAGUUGUUUGAGUUCCAAGAAAAUAGCACCAGGUAGCUGCUAUGCUGUAAGAAAAGCACACCGAGCUGAAGUUUGACACUAAGCUAAACUGAUGUAAUGGCUGCUAAAAGCUUGAGUGCCAAUUGCUUCCUUGGUUUAGAACUGUGUUUUGAAACACGUAGAUAGGUACAAGGCAAAAGGGAAAAAGAAAAGCAAUGGCUUUAUCGAAGAGACAUUGUUAUUUAUUAAAUCAGUUAAUCAUACGUUGCCAGCCUAAUUAAUAAUUGCUGGUGCAAGGAAUGCCACAGAUUAGGCUACACUGAUACCAAGUGCUCCAAACAGAUGAUAGAAAGUUGUACUCUGACCUUCCCAUGUGUCUGACUGCAACAGAGAACAGGUCACCCCAUCUUCUAUAACGCUGCGCUCUCUGCUGCUCUGUUACUCAUUGUGUCAGGGGAGGGGCAGCUGGGGGUUAGGGACAAGGUCUGCACCGGAGGGGGGUGGGCAUGGAAUGGGCUGCCCAGGGCUGUGGGCACGGCCCCCAGUGCUGGAGUUCAGAGAGCAUCUGGACAGUGCUCUCAGAUGUAGGGUCUGAUUUUGGGUGGUGCUGUGUGGAGAAUGGAGUUGGACUCGAUGAUCCUUGUGGGUCCUGUCCAGCUUGGGAUAUUCUGUGCUUCUAUAAUUCCACGAUUCUAUGAACCUAGGUGAGUUUCUUUACCAUUUUGUACAAUGAAGUCUUUCCUGCCCAACACUUCAUGUUUUUUGUAGGGGAUUGUGAAUUGUUCUUUACACACAUCUGGAAGUAGAUCGCCAACAUGUAGCUUUACUUCUACCCUGACAAACACUGCUUUCAGUCCGAUUUGACUGUCCGAUUUGACUUUUCCAUUGACCCCCUGCCUCCCUUCUCCAGUGUUUCAGCACAGCUGGAAGAACUCUUCAACUUCAGAAGGUUUGCUUGGAAGCAGGGAGUCAGUGGGCAAUGCCACAUCACACCAGUCACUUGCCACAGAAACCUCCUAACUGCUGUCUUCUGUAUCUGCACAAGCUGUCAUGCUCAUUGUUGCACCAGGAGAGAUCUUGCACAGCAGCACUGGAGCUGGGGGAAGGCUGUAUCUCCUCAGGCUAAUCUGGUUAACCAUGAAAGCUGUCAGGACUUGUUCACCCGCAGCAAAAGACUCAUCCUGGUCACUAUAAAAGAACAAAACUGCCAUGCAGCAAGAGCUCCCCACUCAAGCUUGUGGCUCACCCUAAAAUGCAGCUGAAAGCACUCUCUCGUGCAGAGCCCAACCCCUAAAUCUCCAUCACAUGGGAAAGUUCCCCACAGCUGUGACUGUUACAGGCUUCCCUGUUGCUUCACGUGUCCUUUCCAACACUUGCUGAACCAUCAUAAGCUGUUGUUUCAGAUCACACGCACACAUGGCUUUACAAAAGGCAAAGCAUCUCUUUAAACAAUAAGCUUUUAAUAGAACCAUAGAAACAUAGAAUGGCUUGCGUUAGAAGAGACUUCAAAGGUCAUCUGAUUCCAACCCACCAGCUCAGGCUGCCCAGGGCCCCAUCCAACCUGGCCUUGAGCACCUCCAGGGAUGGGGCACCACAGCUUCUCUGGGCAGCUGUGCCAGCGCUUCACUGCCCUCUGAGUAAAAAGUUCCCCCCUAAUAUCCCACCUAAAUCUCCCCUCUUUUAGUUUAAAGCCAUUCCUGCUUGUCCUAUCACUAUAAGACCAUGUAAAAAAUUGGUCUCCCUUCUGCUAAUAAACUUCUUCUAAGCACGGCAAGGCCACUAUCAGGUCUCUCUGGAGCUUUCUCUUCUCCAGGCAGCUCAAGCCCAGUUCCCUCAGCCUGUCUUCACAGGAGAGGUGCUCCAACCCUCUGAUCAUCUUCAUGCUGUCAUCUGGACCCACUCCAACAUCUCCACAUCCCUUCUACGCUGGGGACCCCAGGCCUGGACGCAGUACUCCAAGUGGAGCCUCACGAGGGCAGAGCAAAGAGGGACAUUCACUUCCCUCCCCCCCGCUGGCCACCCCUUCUUUUGCCGCAGCCCAGUGUACAAUGAGGUAACCCUUCCCUGCGAGCUCCCUCGGCUACGCCCGACACCUGGGCCAAGGGAGGCGCCCUUCCCGAAGGGCCACCUGCGCCCAUCCGGGGCCGGCGCGAUGCGGCCGGAAGGGGGCGCCGCCGUCCCGCCUGUAGAACCGGAGCAGAACAUGGCGAGUAGCCCGGCGCUUCGCUAGGGCCCCGGGCAGGGGGAGGGCGACCGUGGCUCUCUUUCGCGGCUGCCCUCCGCAGCAGAAGCCAACAGAACCGUGUGGGUGUGGCACUGAGGGACGUGGUCAGUGGGCAUGGCAGGGAUGGGAUGACACUUGGGCUAGGUGACCUUAGAUGUCUUUUCCAACCUUAAUGAAUCUGUGAUUCUAUAUUUGAGAAGUUAAAAACAGUUGAAACAAGGAUUGUGGGAUUGUGGACGUUACCUGCUUUCCCCGUUCCUUUGUCGUUAAAUGUCUGGCAUUCACUUAUUAUUAUGUGGCUGGCUAACGAGGAAGUGAAAUAUUAAUUUCUCCUCAGUCAGGAAGCUCCUGAUGGAAGUUCACCUCAGUCAAGUCUCACUUUGAGAGCUUAAUUCUGAUCUGUCCAGCUUUGUGAUUACUUGCUCUCAUACUAUGCAUUGGAGUCACACACUGCUUUGCUAUGGGACUGAAAGAGUUCAAAUUUUAAGGUAGUUUUCAAAUCAAAUUCAUGGUUUGGGUUGAAAGGGAGCUCACAGCCCACCCACCCCAACCUGUGCCGUGGGCAGGGCUGCCCCCCACCAGCUCAGGCUGCCCAGGGCCCCAUCCAACCUGGCCUUGAGCGCCUCCAGGGAUGGGGCACCACAGCUUCUCUGGGCAGCUGUGCCAGCGCCUCACCGCCCUCUCAGCAAAAAGUUUCCACCAACAUCUAAUCUAAAUGUGGCACUUCAGUGGAUUGUGUUAAAUAAAUACUUAAAUAAAUAAAAUUCCAAACUCGUUAAUGGCCACUCUUCUAUGUCUAGACCAGUCUGUGGCCUUACUCUCUCCACCUAGUCCUGUUCGUCCACUUUCUAACCUGGGAUAUUGCUUCCUGAAUUCUCAGCUGUAAUCUGCAGGCCCUCUCUGGACAGCAUGUCUCUGCAGUGGUUGUUUAUAUGGUGUCCUCUGUAGUGGUGUUCUUUCCUAAAGGUUCAUGGUGUAGUAAUAAAUUCUUUGAAAGACGCCGUCAGAGGAGGUCAUGGGAGCAAAGACACACGCAAGGAAUUGAUGGCACUUCAGCAUUUUGCUAGUAAAGACACGAGCUGUCCUGUAGGAACAGGAAAGCUAUUGUUGGACUGAAUCCGCCUGUCUUCCUCUGGUGCCAGCACUCCACAAAGCGUGCAUUUUGUGACUGUAAUGCUAUUCAGCCUCGCAAAAGGUACAGCCUGGGACCAAUCGGAGAACAUGAUUAAAUGCUCAGCUUCCAUCCCUCAUAUAAAGGUCGUGUAUUUGUAUUCCAGCUAAGUCAGCCGUCAGCGUUUGUAAAGUGUCUGAUGUUCUCUUAUUGCUGUGCAAACAAUGGCAAAACCAAAACAGAAUUAAAUUUCAAUUAAUCUGAGACAUUCAUAACAGGCAUUAGAACAAUAAGCAUGUUUUGUUAUUAACCUUCCUCCUUCAUAUGAGAUUUUGACCUCUUUAUACUAAUCUGAUUUUAUUUGUCAAAUUAACUGUAGAAUUCAAUAUUAGUAGUCCCAGACAAUGACUCAAGCUUCAUCACCUCCUAUUCCCUCUUUGUGGGAAAAAGAAGGUAAUUAUUACUUUUAAAAAUAAUAACAACCUUGGAGUGAAGUUUCAUUUCUUAUUUCUUAAUGACGAGACCCUUUUUUUCUCUUGCUGUUUUUUAACCUUUAGAAUGGAUUUUCCUUUUCAAACUCUGUUUUUUUUUUUUUCUGAGCAUUUUUGAGGUCUGGAAACAUUUCUUUUUUCGUAAUGGAACCUGAGAUUCCUGACUAAUGACUUGCCUUUGGGAGCUGAGAUUUUAAUUAAAAAAGAAAAAAGAAAAAACCACCCAAAGUGGGGCAGUUGUGAUAAAAUCAUAAGAAUUGGCAAUAUAUUUAUGUGUCUACGCCAGGUGAGGAAGCAUUGUGAAGGAGAAGAAAACUGCCUGACUGUAAGCAGACCUUCUUGAUGAUGAAACCCUGCAGGGCUAUGGCCAGCUAUGGCACCUGUAAGACAUAGAGGGGUGGUUACAGAGCAAGUGCAGGAGAGUGAUAUCUUCAGCCACGAGGACUGCUUUGUAUCAUGUUCUUCACUGAGAUAAACAUCUCCUCCUAGCAGCUCCUUAUCUGCUGAUAAUCUUGCCAUAUCCCAGUCCACAUCUGAAGUGCAUGCACGUUUUGGGGCAAGGGUAGUGCUGGCUGGGACUCUGCCCAGUUCCAAGUAGGUACAAGAGGCUCGGGGCCAACUGUUUAUUGGGCUGUGCUAUUUAUACAGUAAUUCUCGACUUGCUCAGAACAAGGGGCAGAUCAAGGCUUAAUCCCCUUUCCCGGACAACCCUAUUACCUAACACCAAGAGUGGUAGAAAAGUCCUAAUCUUCAGAGGGAGAGGGACAGUAAAAGUUCCUCUAUCAGAGAUUGUUAAGAUAGCCCAGAACAAAGCCUUAGAGAGCUAUUGGCUACAGUGCAUCUGAAAAGGAGAUAACCCAGCAGAUGUCUGGGUUUGCAUUGCGGUGUAAUUACAGGUGAGCUUUAAAGUCACUGGGAAUCAGCUGACUGUUCUGGGAAGAACAGCAGCGGUAUGUUGCUGCUGUGCCUGUUUCAGCAAAAAAGCACACAUCUCAUGAACAGGCACG